GACGAACGCUGGCGGCGUGCUUAACACAUGCAAGUCGAACGGAAAGGCACUGCUUUUGUGGGGUGCUCGAGUGGCGAACGGGUGAGUAACACGUGAGUAACCUGCCCUUGACUUUGGGAUAACUUCAGGAAACUGGGGCUACUAUCGGAUAGGAGCUCCUGCUGCAUGGUGGGGGUUGGAACGUUUCGGCGGUUGGGGAUGGACUGGCGGCUUAUCAGCUUGUUGGUGGGGUAGUGGCUUACCAAGGCUUUGACGGGUAGCCGGCAUGUGAGGGGGACCGGCCACAAGGGGACUGAGAUACGGCCCAGACUCCUACGGGAGGCAGCAGUGGGGAAUAUUGCACAAUGGGCGGAAGCCUGAUGCAGCAACGCCGCGUGCGGGAUGACGGCCUUCGGGUUGUGAACCGCUUUCGCCUGUGACGAAGCGGGAGUGACGGUAAUGGGUAAAGAAGCACCGGCUAACUACGUG
rnacentral:rRNA from 1 species